rnacentral:lncRNA from 1 species
UGAAUGAAAAUGAGCUGAUAUCUUUCAUUAAGCAAGCCAACAAGGCAUUAAGCCAUUACAUAUAUCAGUCAACAAGUAAAACAAACAAGUAAUUACCUAAUAACAUACCUAACACCACUAAAUUGCCUAGUAACUUGGUAAACUUGAUUGAAAAACAAAAAGCUUCUACCUAAACUUGUCAUUCAGCACCUAAUUACAUCAAAAUGCAGCUACCAACUAAGUUUGAUCCUAACUAAAUACAAAACAUUCAAUUAAGGAAACUAAAUGGAUAGCUUCAGCUUGCUGCACACCAUGGCACCACUGCCUGCUGCGAUUCCAGAAGCAUGACCACCUUUGCAUGUCGUGCAUGGCCACCUUUGCAUGGGAACUAAACUUAACACUCCUCCUUAGUUUCCAUGCUAGUAACACCUAAUUCCCUUUUGAAUUUAACAAAUUUAGACACAUUGAGUGCCUUUGUGAAGAUAUCAGCAAUUUGCACUUCUGAAUUGCAAUGAAUCAGCUCGAUUUCAUGAGCUUGUUCCAUCUCCCUUAUAACAUGCAACUUAAUAUUGAAAUGCUUGGUUCUGCCAUGAAAAAUGGGAUUUUUUGCAAUUGCAACAGCAGAUUUGUUGUCACAAUAAAUCUCUGUUGCCUCCUUUUGGUUUUGGUUUAAAUCAGUCAAGAUUUUUCUAAGCCAUAUGGCUUGGUUCACAGCAGAUACAGCAGCAACAUAUUCAGCUUCUGCUGUUGACUGUGCCACCAGACUUUGUUUCUUAGAACUCCAGCAAAACAUGCCUGAGCCAAGGCUGAAUGCAUAUCCGGAUGUGCUUCUCAUGUCAUCACUUGAUCCAGCCCAGUCACUAUCAACAUAGCCUAUUAACUUCAUGUUUUUGGCCCUUUUGAACAAUACACCAUGACCAAUGGUGCCUUUGAUGUAUCUCAGCACUCUUUUAGCUGCUCGAAAGUGCUGAUCAUUGCAGCAAUUCAUGUAUCUUGACAGCACACUAACAGCAAACAUGAUAUCGGGCCUUGUGGCAGUCAAAUACAACAGACUACCAAUGAGACUCUUGUACAUGGUCUCACAAAUUGGUUCACCACUCCCUUGCCUCGAAAGCUUCACUCCAACAGCCAUUGGUGUGCUUGUUGGCUUGCAGUUCUUCAUAGAGAACUUGUCCAGGAUCUUCAUAGUAAAAGAACUCUGACAAAGAAAGAUUCCCUUUUCUGUUUGGUUCACUUCCAUUCCAAGGAAGUAGUUCAUUCUGCCUAAAUCAGACAUUUCAAACAUUUCCAUCAUUUUUCUUUUGAAAUCUUCCAGCAUUGUUCCAUCUCCUCCAGUUAUCAAUAGAUUAUCAACAUAGAGUGACAGAAUAAGCUGAGUUUGAGCUUGGUUCUUCUUCACAUACAGUGUUGGUUCACUGGGACUUCUUUCAAAUUCCAAACUGAGCAAGUAAGAGUCAAUUCGAGCAUACCAGGCUCGAGGAGCCUGUUUCAGGCCAUAUAAAGCCUUUUUCAGUCUGUACACCAUGUGUUCUUUGCCAGUGAUCACAAAUCCUUGAGGCUGCUCGAUGUAGAUCUCUUCUUCCAGGAAGCCAUUGAGAAAUGCAGACUUAACAUCAAGCUGAUGAAUGGUCCACUGAUGUUGAGCAGCCAAGGCAACUAUCAUUCUAACUGUGUCAAGCCUGGCUACUGGUGCAAAUGUCUCCAGGUAAUCCAGACCAUACCUUUGGCUAAAUCCUUUGACAACAAGCCUGGCUUUUAGCUUGUUCAGACUGCCAUCUGCAUUCUGUUUUACUCGAUAGACCCAUUUUACUCCAAUGGUCUUCUUUCCAGCAGGUUUAUCAACAAGCUCCCAUGUCUGGUUCUUUUCAAUCAUGUUGAUUUCAUUGAUCAUAGCAAGUUUCCAGCCUUCAUCUGCCUCAGCCUCUUCAAAACUGCUAGGUUCUGCUAUUGCAACCUGUGCCCUUUCAUAAAUAUCAUCAAGGGGCCUUGUGCCUCUCACAGGCACAUUAUCAACAUCCAUUUCAGGUCCUAGCUGCUCAAGUUCAGCUUGGUUAGGCACUAGGUCUUCUGAAACUGCUUCUGGCUCAUUUUUCUCCCAAUUCCAGCAGGCUUUUUCAUCAAAGAUGACAUCUCUGCUCACCUGGACUUUGUUUAUCAAGGGAUCCAGGACCUUGUAGCCCUUCUUGACUGAGCUGUAGCCUACUAGAACACCUGGUUGAGCCCUUUUAGAGAGCUUGUCUCUCUUUGCUGCUGGUAUUUGUGCAUAACACAGGCAACCAAACACCUUCAGAUGUGCUAAGGAAGGCUUGAAACCAGACCAAGCCUCGAAAGGUGUCUCGGAUGCAAGAGCUUUAGUGGGAAGCCUGUUCUGAAGGUAAACAGCAGUGUUUACUGCCUCAGCCCACAUGGUCUUGGGCAGUUUCUUCUCAAACAGCAGACAUCUGGCCAUAUCCAUCAGACUUCUAUUCUUUCUUUCAGCUACCCCAUUCUGCUGAGGUGUGUAGACAUUUGUAAGCUGAUGUUUGAUACCAGCAUCAUUGCAAAUGGCUUGAAACUGAGCUGAAGUGUACUCAGUGCCAUUAUCAGUCCUUAUCGAUUUCAGCUUGCAACCUGUUUCUGUUUCUACAGCAUUUUUAAACUUCACAAAUACUUGAGCUACCUCAGACUUGUGUUUUAAAAAGAAAAUCCAGCAAAACCUUGUAAGGUCAUCAAUAAAGAGGAUGAAAUACCUGUUUUUGCUGAGUGAUUCAGUCCUCAUCGGGCCACAUACAUCAGAGUGCACCAGCUGCAGUCUUUCAGUAGCUCUCCAGGUUGAAUUUGUAGGAAAUGGCAGUCUUGCUUGUUUCCCCAUUUGGCAAACUUCACACACAUCAUCAUGCUCCACUGAGCUGAUGAAGUUCUCUGCCAAGCCCUCUUUGGCCAAUCGAGCCAUUGAUCUGAAGUUAGCAUGUCCAAGCCUUUGAUGCCAAAGCUUGGAGUCUUCAACAGAGGCUGUGUAUGCUGAAUUUGAGUCAUUUGUCCAGUGAACCUCAAAGCAUUUAUCAGUCAUUGUGACUGUCAUGAGGCUUGAUCCACUUGGAUCAGUAAUAUGGCAUUGUUUAUCCUUGAACACAACAGAAUAACCUUUCUCGAGCAGUUGAGCUAUGCUGAGAAGGUUUCUGUCAAUCUGUGGUACCAACAGCACAUUUGGAAUGAUCUUGUUGCCUGUGGGAGUACAUAUCAGCACUUCUCCUCUUCCUUCAGCCCUUAUAAACUGACCAUUUCCAACCUUGACCUUGGUUUUAUAACUUUUGUCCAAGGUUUUAAACAAGGAGGCAUCUGGUGACAUGUGGUUAGUGCAACCACUGUCCAGCAACCAGCCUUUAGAGCAUUUCUUCUCAGAAGCUACACAGGAAACAGCAAAGACCUGUUCUUCUUGGUCACUACUGUCCUCAGCUACUCGAGCUUCAACCUUUGACUGCUGAAAUUGAUUCUGCCUUGGCUUACUUCUGUUUUUGCAGACCCUUUCAACAUGGCCCUUCUUCUUGCAGUGUUGGCAUACUGCAUCUGGCCUAAACCAGCAUCUGUCUUCUGGAUGGCCAGGCUUCUUGCAAUAUCUGCAGGGCUGGUCAUUGCUCCUUGCAGCAUCAGGCUUAGGCCCGUUUUUCCAAGGCUUUUUGCCUCUUUGAGCAUUAGUGCUCGAGGUUUCUCUGGCCUUGGCAUGAAAUGCACCUUCUUGGUGAUCUUCAGCUCUACUAGCUCUUCUUUGUUCCUGAGCAUAAAAGGUGUUGAUUAGCUCAGUCAAAGAGAUGCUAGCAAGAUCUCUUGAGUCCUCUAGAGAGGAUAUCUUGGCCUCAUAUCUCUCAGGCAAAGUGGAGAGGACUUUCUCCACAAUUCUUGCCUCAUCAAAGUGCUCACCUAGGAGCCUUAUGCUGUUAACCACUGCCAUAAUUCUAUCUGAGUACUGCUUCACUGUUUCUUCUUCCUUCAUCUUCAAAUUCUCGAAAUCCCUUCUCAAGUUUAACAGCUGCUGUUGUCUUGUUCUCUCAGUGCCUUGAAACUCCUCCUUGAGCUUAUCCCAGGCCUGUUUUGGAGUCUCACAGGCCAUAAUUCUGGUGAAGAUGACAUCAGACACACAAUUCUGGAUGCAGGACAUGGCUUUGUGCCUUUUGGUCCUCUCAUCAGCAUGUUGCCUAAUCUGAGCUACUGUGGGAUUAGCCCUCAGUGGUGCUGGCUCAGUAUCUGUGUUGACAACUUCCCACAAAUCGAAGGCCUGUAGGUAAGUCUUCAUCUUGACCAGCCAUAUGUGAAAGCCUUCUCCAUUGAAGACUGGUGGGGCUGCUGGUGAAAAUCCUGAAGAAGCCAUCAAGUUCCUUGUCUUGAAGCAACAGGUCCACUAAGACAAGAGCUCUCGAUACCAAUUGUUGGUGCAAGAGGCAGCAGCAAGCUGUUACUAGUCUUGCUUGUGUAGUAAGCCUCGAGGCUUGGUGAAGAAGCAAACUCGGAAGCAGAAAACAGAAAGAUGAAGCUAGCAAGUGAAAACAGAAAAGAGAGAAAAAAGAUUGAAUGAAAAUGAGCUGAUAUCUUUCAUUAAGCAAGCCAACAAGGCAUUAAGCCAUUACAUAUAUCAGUCAACAAGUAAAACAAACAAGUAAUUACCUAAUAACAUACCUAACACCACUAAAUUGCCUAGUAACUUGGUAAACUUGAUUGAAAAACAAAAAGCUUCUACCUAAACUUGUCAUUCAGCACCUAAUUACAUCAAAAUGCAGCUACCAACUAAGUUUGAUCCUAACUAAAUACAAAACAUUCAAUUAAUGAAACUAAAUGGAUAGCUUCAGCUUGCUGCACACCAUGGCACCACUGCCUGCUGCGAUUCCAGAAGCAUGACCACCUUUGCAUGUCGUGCAUGGCCACCUUUGCAUGGGAACUAAACUUA